rnacentral:rRNA from 1 species
UACGUAGGGGGCUAGCGUUGUCCGGAAUUAUUGGGCGUAAAGAGCGUGUAGGCGGUCCGGUAAGUCAGCUGUGAAAGUCAAGGGCUCAACCCUUGAAUGCCGGUUGAUACUGUCGGGCUAGAGUCCGGAAGAGGCGAGUGGAAUUCCCGGUGUAGCGGUGAAAUGCGCAGAUAUCGGGAGGAACAUCAAUGGCGAAGGCAGCUCGCUGGGACGGUACUGACGCUGAGACGCGAAAGCGUGGGGAGCAAACAGG